AUUGAACGCUGGCGGCAGGCCUAACACAUGCAAGUCGAGCGGAUGAAGGUAGCUUGCUCCUGGAUUCAGCGGCGGACGGGUGUGUAAUGCCUAGGAAUCUGCCUGGUAGUGGGGGAUAACGUCCGUAAACGGGCGCUAAUACCGCAUACGUCCUGAGUGUGAAAGUUGGGGAUCUUCGGACCUCACGCUUUCAGAUUAGCCUAGGUCGGAUUAGCUAGUUGGUGUGGUAAAGGCCUACCAAGGCGACUAUCCGUAACUGGUCUGAGAGGAUGAUCAGUCAAACUGGGAGUGAGAAACGGACCAGACGCCUACGGGAGGCAGCAGUGGGGAAUAUUGGACAAUGGGCGAAAGCAUGAUAGAGCAAGGCCGAGUGUGAGAAGAAGGUCUUCGGAUUGUAAAGAACUUUAAGUUGGGAGGAAGGGAAGUAAGUUAAUAAAUUGCUGUAUUGACGUUAACAAAAGAAUAAGCACCGGCUAACUUCGUG
rnacentral:rRNA from 1 species